rnacentral:lncRNA from 1 species
AUGUCCGAGAAGAAAGGAUGCACUCCUGCACAACUAGCCCUCGCAUGGCUUCACCAUCAGGGAGACGAUGUUUGCCCCAUCCCGGGAACUACUAAGAUCGAAAACCUCAAUCAGAAUAUUGGUGCUUUAUCAGUGAAACUCACUCCCGAAGAGAUGUCUGAGCUGGAGAGCAUUGGUCACCCAGAGUCUGUGAAAGGAGAAAGAUUCAGUAACAUGGUGCCCAACUUUAAGAACUCAGACACUCCACCAUUGUCUUCUUGGAAAGCCGCUUAAACCCCACCUGAAAGUUUCUCGGGCUAUGGUGGUAGGGUGGCAUUGAUGUGGUGUAACUUGUGCUAGAUAAGUCGAGGUAAUUAUAUGUAGAAGCUGCGGUCUUAUAUUGCAUCUUCGUGAGUUCCACCUAUGCAUGGCCCGUCUUUAGUCUCUCAGGGUUUACACCUUUUAAGAAUAAAAUAUGCAUAUUCAGGAGUUCGCCGAGAUAUCUACAAAACUUUGAACAUUUUCCUGAUUUGGAAUAUUCUACUUGAGGUUUCUUAUUAUUACCAUUCAGAUUAGUCCAAGGCAUUUUACCUCAACUUGGAAAUCUCAACUGGAAAUGACCCAACCAAAAACUGAACAGAACUGACCUGAAACCAAACUUAACUUUAUGAGUAUUUAUAUGAGUUUCAAACCGGUUCUUAUACAUUACUUUUAUUAAAUUAAAUAUUAAAAUAUUAAUUUAACAUAGGGAUUACCAUAACAAUGUUUUAUUAUAUAAGAAAGUAGUUUUGAAAAAUGAAUAAAAGAUUUAUUUUGAAAAUUUUAAAUCAUAAUAACCUACUUUUAGGUAUUUUGAAAGUAGUUUUAUGUUUUUAGGUAGGUGUUCUAAUCAGGUGUUCAGGUUUAGUCGGGUUUCAGUUCUUGAAAUUUAACGACAUUUAGAUAUUAGGAUAAUAUGGCAUAUCACAAAUCCGGUUGAAUAUAUUUUAAAUUGGGGUACAGUUUUAGUUUGUGUUUUAGUUAUCCAAAUUAAUAUUUGCUUGUGAUUCAAGAUUUGCACAUUUUAAUUCAGAAACUUCGUAAGUUUAAACAAUUUCUACUAACAAAUAUUUGGUGGCAAAAUUUAGAAAUAGUUGUAAAGAAAAGUAAACAUGAAUAAGUUAAAGCUGUCAACUAACAAGUUUAUAAAGAUAUGAUAUUAUUUAAAUUUCAAAAACCCAAAUAACAUCAUUCAAACUUUAUAAUCGAACUUAUUAAUAAUCACUUCCAGUGCAACUGUAAAAAAAAAAGUAAAACCUCAAUAUUUAUAUUUAAAAUGCUCAAAAUAGUGAAAACGAAUAAAAAGUUGUAUUUUCAAAUUAUCCUUAUAAUAAAUAAAUAGUUUUCCCUCAUUAUUAGCAUUCACCAACUCCAACGACCACUCUGUUCAAAACUCUACACAGAGUCAGAGAGAUAGAAAGAAAGAGGUGUGUGAUCGAAAUCCAUGGCGGAAGCUUGCGUUGUGAAGAGGAUGAAGCUUGGAAGCCAAGGUUUCGAGGUAUCAGCAGUGCCGGUCCUAGAUACUGAGGGUCCAAUACUAAAUACAAAACCGAGGCCCUUACAUGAAAAGUUUCUCGAUAAAAAAUUAAUUUUAUAAUAAAAAUUUUACAACAUCUUCAAAACUAUUAAAAUUUGAUCUUUUUGUAAAAAUAACACAUUUUAAUUUUUUUCUAAAAAUUAUCUAUCAAACUUUCAGAAUCAAGGUUUUUCUGAUCAUAUUUUUCUUAGUUGAUAACGUAGCCAAACUAUUAAAUAUUUAUUGUAAUAUAGUUAAUCGUGAGUAAUAUUUUUACAAUUGCAGUUUUGAGAAGCUUCUUUCGGUUGGAGCAUCUGAAACCUGGAUUGUAAACAAUACUCCCUCCGUUUCAUAUUGUAAUUAGUUUUAGGAAAAUGUUUUUAUUUCAAAAUGUAAGUAGUUUUCGUAUUUCUAGGUAACUUUUACAUUUAUUGAAUACAGUGUGACCAAUCAAAUUAAAUAGACUUAUUUUUUAUUGGUUAAAUUAAAUCUAACCUAUUUAUUAUAAAAUACUUUUUAAAAACAUAAUAAUUUUCUUAAUCUUCGUGUUUUUACCCAAAACUACUUAUAUUAUGAAACGUAUGGAGUAUAUUAUAGACAAUCUAUAUAUUUUGAUAAUUCUUUUUAAAUUUUUGUCUUGUAACUCGUAAGAAGAGGUAGUAGAAAAAGAGUGAAACACAAUUUCCUAUGAAAAAGGAGUAAUUUUGCCUGAAAAAUAAUUAUUUUUAAUCAGGUAUGUUAUUUUUUGACCUAAACAAAUUCAGCCAUGUUCUUUUUAAUCCACUCAUAUUAAAUAACAUAAAAGAAUAUGUACGAUUUAAUUGUGUUUGUAUAUAAAAGUUGUCUCGUCACUUUUUUUAACUUUUCUACAAUACACAUUGAUCCAUCUAAGUAACAACAAUAGAAAAAAUAGACCUUGUUUGUUUUUGAUAAAUCAUGGGCCCCAUACGAUUGUUUCACGUGUAUGGGGUCAAGCCCGGGCCUGUAUCAGCUCAAGGCCUUGGCUGCCUGGGCCUCUCCUCCUUCCAUGGUGAUCCUGCACGGGAAACUGACGCCAUCACUCUUCUCCACCACGCUGUCGACUCCGGCGUUACUUUCUUUGACACCUCCGAUAUCUACGGUCCUGAGACCAACGAGUUUAUCCUCUCCAGGGUGCCAUUUGAUCAUGUUCACGACACGUUGAUCAAACCGGUUUAGAUCAAAUAACAUGCCAUUUGAUCAAUCCCAACCUGCAGGUACCAUCCUCUUUUCUUGGUGCAUUAAUAUUCAUCAAACCAUGUAAAAUCAUCUUCACUUUCACUUCUUCAGGGAGCUUGGGAUUGGGAUUGUUGCUUACAGUCCUCUAGGAAAAGGCUUCUUCGCAUCUGGACCAAAGCUUCUUGACAACCUAGGCCAAAAUGACUUCAGAAAGGCAAGUUCAUAGUUUUUGUUUGAUUCUAUCUAAAAUGAGCUGUGGAAUAAACCAACUCCCUGUAUUUUUUUCCUUAAUUCUGUUUCUUGUUAUAGGCUCUACCAAGAUUCCAACAGGAAAACGUAGACCAAAACAAGAUUCUUUUCGAGAAUGUUUGUGCAAUGUCAGAGAAGAAAGGGUGCACUCCCGGACAACUAGCCCUGGCAUGGGUUCACCACCAGGGAGAUGAUGUUUGCCCAAUCCCAGGAACCACUAAGAUCGACAACCUCAAUCAGAACAUUGGAGCUUUAUCUGUGAAACUCACUCCCGAAGAGAUGACUGAGCUCGAGGCCAUUGUCCGACCAGAGUCUGUGAAAGGAGAAAGAUAUUGUAGCAACAUGCCCACUUUCAAGAACACUGAGUCUCCAUCAUUGUCUUCUUGGAAAGCCGCUUAAACUGGCUUUGGUGGUGCAUGAUAUUGAAGCUAGACAACUUAUGUCAGCCAGAUCAAGGUCUUAAAUGUGCUGCUUCUUCCGGGGGAAACCCAAUUGUCAAUGUGUAAUUGCAUUUGUAAAAUAAUUUUUGUAUAGAGUUCCCAAGUGAAAACUUCAAUGUAAGUUACGCUGAAAAGCACGGCCAUGGUGCACACUUUCAAGAACUCUUGACACUCCACCACCUCUUGGAAAGCCGCUUAAACUCACCUGAAAGUUUCUCUGGUUAUCGUGGUACAUUGGCCACUUAUGAAUGCCAAAUUGAGGUAACAAUAUGUUGUUGAAGUUGCCGACGUAUGCUGCUAUGCAUAUAUAAGAGCUUUAGAGCACCCUCAACGCAAAUACCCAACUUGGUUUCCUAUUUUUUUUUUUUUUCCUUUUUUUUUUUGCUGAUUUAAAAAAAAAAUUAAAAAUGAACCAAUCGUGGACUGCCACGUGUCAGUGGAAUCCGCGAAACAGUGCAAAAGACGUCCCUAAUUUCGAGAACAGAAGACAACGGUCUCCCCCUUUUUGGUGGGGCCCACACCACAUUUUCCCCUAAAACCCACCUUGCAUCCCCCGUUAAUCAUGGCCUUAUUAAGGUCAAAUAUUUAUUAUUGGUUGAUUAGCAUAUACAUCAGUAGUCUAAUACUAAAUUAAUUAUAUUAAAAUAUUAUAUUUUAUAAAAAUAAAAAAUAUAUAUAAUAAUAAUAAUAAAAUAUAAUUAUUAAUUUAAUAUAGUUAAUAAUAAAAAAAAUUUGUUUAGAUGAAAGUUAUAAAAAAAAAUUAUUUUAUGAAUAUUAUAUCUACUUAAAAAAAAUAUAAUUAAUGAUUAUAAUUUUUUGUUGAGAUGAAAAUUAUAAUUUUUAGUGAAUAGUCUUUUAUCAAUGAAGAUUAGAUUAUACUUUUAAAAUAAAAUUAAUAAUAAUAUUAUGUUUGUUGUUAGAUGAAAAUUUUAACUUUUAGUGAUGAAAUUCUUUUUUGUUUUAUGAAAAUUAGUAUUAUACGUUUUAAAACAUUUUGUUUAAUUUCUAUAUAUGUAUAUAAAUCAGUGAUUAAGGAAAAUCGGUACAGAAUAUUUUAGUUUAAAUCUCUUAUAAAUAUAGAUUAUGAUACUGAUUAGUGAAUGUAUACGCACGCUUCUUUUGCUGGUGGUACAGCAGAACAGUGAAGACGCACGCGUCUUUUAGGUUUGGUCAUCACUCAACAUUACCAUUCUCAUUCACCAACCCAAUUCCAACUCCACCAACCUCUCCACUCAAUUCAAAACUCUCUCUCUCACAACAAAAGUAUCAAAGAGAGAUAGAAAGAAAGAAAGAGGUGGGUGAGGGAAAUCAAUGGCGGAAGCUAGCGGAGUGAAGAGAAUGAAGCUGGGAAGCCAAGGCCUUGAGGUAUCUGCACAGGGCCUCGGUUGCAUGGGCCUCUCCUCCUUCUACGGUACUCCCAAGCCUGAAAGUGACGCCAUGGCUCUUCUCCACCACGCUAUCGAAUCCGGCGUCACUUUCCUAGACACUUCCGACAUCUACGGUCCUCAGACCAACGAGCUGCUCCUCGGCAAGGUUCGAUUCCCAAACUUCUUAAUCUGCGAUUUGAUCUUCUUUUUGCUAGUCGAGAUGACUUAGAUGGUUGAUUCUCUACGAGAUUGUCCUCAGAUUCUUUAGAAAUGAUUGUGUCAGGCGCUGAAGAAUGGGUUUAGGGAGAAAGUGGAGCUCGCUUCAAAAUUUGGGAUCAGCUACGGAGAGGGGAAGAGAGAGAUAAAGGGAGAUCCUUUCUAUGUUAGGGCUGCUUGUGAGGCUAGUUUGAAGCGUCUUGAUGUGGAUUGCAUUGAUCUUUAUUACCAGCAUCGCAUCGAUACUCGUGUCCCUAUCGAAAUCACUGUAAGCCAUUCUUACUCACUCUCAAAUGAAAUGGAGGACGAUGUUGUCUGCUUAUUCAUUAAGAACCAAUCUCUGGUGUGCAAUGAUCUUCGACUGAGAAGAAUCUACUGCUUCUGUGUCUCUAAUUGGUUUGCAGGCCAUUUUAGAAAGCUGGCACCUUUUUUUUUUUUUUGCUGACAUUAACAAUUUCUUGUGUAUGUUAUUUCUAAGAUGGGAGAACUAAAGAAGCUAGUUGAAGAGGGUAAAAUAAAGUACAUUGGUUUGUCUGAAGCCUCUGCCUCAACUAUCAGAAGAGCGCAUGCUGUUCACCCCAUAACUGCAGUGCAGUUGGAGUGGUCUUUGUGGUCUAGAGACGUGGAAGAAGAAAUCACCCCAACCUGCAGGUAAGAGAGAUUCAAUCCAGAUUUGCUCCUUAUUUUCUUGGUGUGUGCCACUAUCCAUCUACGUGUAAUAUGAUGUUCACUUUCCUCUUUUCAGGGAGCUUGGAAUUGGAAUUGUUGCUUACAGUCCCCUAGGACGAGGUUUCUUUGCAUCAGGACCUAAGCUUGUUGAGAAGCUUGACCAAAAUGACUUCAGAAAGGCAAGUUCAUAAGUUUUGUCUGCUUGGUGAACCUAAUAGAUUAGCUGAAGAUGUGACUCUAUAUUUUCUCAAUUCUGUUUCUUAUUGCAGACUCUACCGAGAUUCCAACAGGAAAACCUAGACCACAACAAGAUUCUGUAUGAGAAAGUUUGUGCAAUGUCUGAGAAGAAAGGGUGCACUCCGGGACAACUAGCCCUCGCGUGGGUUCACCACCAGGGAGAUGAUGUUUGCCCCAUCCCAGGAACUACUAAGAUCCAAAACCUCAAUCUGAACAUUGGAGCUCUAUCUGUGAAACUCACUCCUGAUGAGAUGCUUGAGCUCGAGACCAUUGUCCAAGCAGAGUCUGUGAAAGGAGAAAGAUAUGGUAACAUGUUGGCCACUUUCAA